rnacentral:rRNA from 1 species
UACGGGGGGGGAGCAAGCGUUGUUCGGAUUUACUGGGCGUAAAGCGUGCGCAGGCGGUUUUGUAAGCCAGAUGUGAAAUCCCCGGGCUUAACCUGGGAAUGGCAUUUGGGACUGCAAGGCUUGAGUUUGGCAGAGGAGACUGGAAUUCCUGGUGUAGCAGUGAAAUGCGUAGAUAUCAGGAGGAAUACCGAUGGCGAAGGCAGGUCUCUGGGCUGAAACUGACGCUCAUGCACGAAAGCGUGGGGAGCAAACAGG